rnacentral:rRNA from 1 species
AUGUAUAGAAAAAAUUGGACCCCGAUAACCACCGACCAUUCGGUCUGGGGACAUCCCAAACCGAACCUUUUGUUCGGUAAAUCAGCUCCCUCGCGACGAACGUUUUUGUUCGAUCGAAAGAGCUCUCCUUCCCAAACGACCUCGCUCCCUCCCCUCCAACGGACCAGCCCAGCCCAGAAACACAAUUGCCUUCAAGAAUUAAAAACAAAUUACAAUAUUUGUAGGCCCCAAAACUGCCAUGUUUUUGUACAUAUUAAUUUGCCAUGGCAAGUUUGCCAUGUUUCUGAACAUAUUAAGUUGACAUGGCAAGUUUGGCAUGUUUUUGAACAUCUAUAA